CCUACGGGAGGCAGCAGUGGGGGAUAUUGCACAAUGGGGGAAACCCUGAUGCAGCGACGCCGCGUGGGCGAAGAAGUAUUUCGGUUUGUAAAGUCCUAUCAGCAGGGAAGAAGAUAUGACGGUACCUGACUAAGAAGCCCCGGCUAAAUACGUGCCAGCAGCCGCGGUAAUACGUAGGGUGCAAGCGUUAUCCGGAUUUACUGGGUGUAAAGGGAGGGUAGACGGGAGGGCAAGUCUGGUGUGAAAGGCGGGGGCUCAACCCCCGGACUGCACUGGAAACUGUACGGCUGGAGUGCAGGAGAGGGAAGUGGAAUUCCUAGUGUAGCGGUGAAAUGCGUAGAUAGUAGGAGGAACACCAGUGGCGAAGGCGGCUUACUGGACGGUAACUGACGUUGAGGCGCGAAAGCGUGGGGAGCAAACAGGAUUAGAUACCCGUGUAGUC
rnacentral:rRNA from 1 species